rnacentral:rRNA from 1 species
CCCCUAGUAACUGCGAGUGAAGCGGGAUGAGCUCAAAUUUAAAAUCUGGCGGUUCCGCCGUCCGAGUUGUAAUCUGGAGAAGUGCUAUCCGCGCUGGACCGUGUACAAGUCUCUUGGAAUAGAGCGUCAUAGAGGGUGAGAAUCCCGUCUUUGACACGGACUGCCAGGGCUAUGUGAUGCGCUCUCGAAGAGUCGAGUUGUUUGGGAAUGCAGCUCAAAACGGGUGGUAAAUUCCAUCUAAAGCUAAAUAUAGGCGAGAGACCGAUAGCGAACAAGUACCGUGAGGGAAAGAUGAAAAGCACUUUGGAAAGAGAGUGAAACAGUACGUGAAAUUGUUGAAAGGGAAACGCUUGGAGUCCAGUCGCUUCUUCCGGGAUUCAACCUCGCUUCUGCUUGGUGCAUUUCCCGGUUUGAGGGGUCAGCAUCAGUUUCUGGGCCGGAYAAACGCGUUGGGAAYGUGGCACCUCCGGGUGUGUUAUAGCCCUUCGUUGCACAACGGCCCGUGGGACUGAGGAUUUCCGGUUCACGCCGGGAUGCUGGCAUAAUGGCUUUAAGCGACCCGUCUUGAAACACGGACCAAGGAGUGCUACACGCUCGCGAGUGUUUGGGUGUCAAACCCUUACGCGCAAUGAAAGUGAAAGUCGUUACCCUUUACUGGGACAGCGACGCCCGAGCCAGAAGUUUACGGACGGCUUUGCGGUAGAGCGAGUGCGUUGCGACCCAAAGAUGGUGAACUAUUCCUGGGGAGGGUGAAGCCAGAGGAAACUCUGGUGGAGGCUCGUAGCGGUUCUGACGUGCAAAUCGAUCGCAGGACCUGGGUAUAGGGGCGAAAGACUAAUCGAACCAUCUAGUAGCUGGUUCCUGCCGAAGUUUCCCUCAGGAUAGCAGAAGCUCAUAUCAGAUUUAUGUGGUAAAGCGAAUGAUUAGAGGCCUUGGGGUUGAAACAACCUUAACCUAUUCUCCAACCUUUCA